rnacentral:piRNA from 1 species
UGCAUUUCACAGGAAGUGGUGUGGUUUGA